CAUCAGUCUAGCAGAAUCCUUUCUGCACAAACUAGGACGCUUUGACACUCAGUGUGCGGAAAUGCUUCUGCUCAACUGGUGGG
ensembl:miRNA